rnacentral:rRNA from 2 species
AACGGAGAGUUUGAUCCUGGCUCAGGAUGAACGCUGGCGGCGUGCUUAACACAUGCAAGUCGAACGAACCUUCGGGUUAGUGGCGGACGGGUGAGUAACGCGUGAGAAUCUGCCCUCAGGAGGGGGAUAACGGUUGGAAACGACCGCUAAUACCCCAUAUGCCUAUUGGUGAAAUGAAUUUCGCCUGAGGAUGAGCUCGCGUCUGAUUAGCUAGUUGGUGAGGUAAUGGCUCACCAAGGCUUCGAUCAGUAGCUGGUCUGAGAGGAUGAUCAGCCACACUGGGACUGAGACACGGCCCAGACUCCUACGGGAGGCAGCAGUGGGGAAUUUUCCGCAAUGGGCGAAAGCCUGACGGAGCAACGCCGCGUGAGGGACGAAGGCCUCUGGGCUGUAAACCUCUUUUCUCAAGGAAGAAGAUAUGACGGUACUUGAGGAAUAAGCCACGGCUAAUUCCGUGCCAGCAGCCGCGGUAAUACGGGAGUGGCAAGCGUUAUCCGGAAUUAUUGGGCGUAAAGCGUCCGCAGGCGGCUUUUCAAGUCUGCUGUUAAAGAGUGGAGCUUAACUCCAUCAUGGCAGUGGAAACUGAAAGGCUUGAGUAUGGUAGGGGCAGAGGGAAUUCCCGGUGUAGCGGUGAAAUGCGUAGAUAUCGGGAAGAACACCAGUGGCGAAGGCGCUCUGCUGGGCCAUUACUGACGCUCAUGGACGAAAGCCAGGGGAGCGAAAGGGAUUAGAUACCCCUGUAGUCCUGGCCGUAAACGAUGAACACUAGGUGUCGGGGGAAUCGACCCCUUCGGUGUCGUAGCUAACGCGUUAAGUGUUCCGCCUGGGGAGUACGCACGCAAGUGUGAAACUCAAAGGAAUUGACGGGGGCCCGCACAAGCGGUGGAGUAUGUGGUUUAAUUCGAUGCAACGCGAAGAACCUUACCAGGGUUUGACAUCCUGCGAACCUCUUAGAAAUUUGAGGGUGCCUUCGGGAAUGCAGUGACAGGUGGUGCAUGGCUGUCGUCAGCUCGUGUCGUGAGAUGUUGGGUUAAGUCCCGCAACGAGCGCAACCCACGUUUUUAGUUGCCAGCAUUUAGUUGGGCACUCUAGAAAGACCGCCGGUGAUAAACCGGAGGAAGGUGUGGAUGACGUCAAGUCAUCAUGCCCCUUACACCCUGGGCUACACACGUACUACAAUGCUACGGACAAAGGGCAGCAAACUCGCGAGAGCUAGCAAAUCCCAUAAACCGUGGCUCAGUUCAGAUCGUAGGCUGCAACUCGCCUACGUGAAGCAGGAAUCGCUAGUAAUCGCAGGUCAGCAUACUGCGGUGAAUACGUUCCCGGGCCUUGUACACACCGCCCGUCACACCAUGGAAGUUGGCCAUGCCCGAAGUCGUUACUCCAACCCUUGUGGAGGAGGACGCCGAAGGUGGGGCUAAUGACUGGGGUGAAGUCGUAACAAGGUAGCCGUACCGGAAGGUGCGGCUGGAUCACCUCCUAA